rnacentral:rRNA from 1 species
AAAGGUAAUCAACCGAGACUCCGUCAGUAGCGGCGAGCGAAAGCGGAUCUAGCCCAAACCAGAGAGCUUGCUUUCUGGGGUUGCGGGCGCCGACUUAAGUUAGUGAUGGCUAGUAGAACGGUCUGGAAAGUCCGACCAUAGAAGGUGAUAGUCCUGUAAGCGAAAAGAAAAUUCCUUCUUAUUAGGUACCCGAGUAAUGCUAGGCACGUGGAAUCUAGUGUGAAUCUGCCGCGACCAUGCGGUAAGGCUAAAUAUUAAUCAGUGACCGAUAGUGAACAAGUACCGUG